CCCAGAUUUGAUUUUGCCUGCAGAGAAUAAAUAGAAUUGUAAAAUAUAGAAGAUGCAUAGUUGACACUUAGUUAAAGGAUCCCUUUUGCCCAAAGCGACUUACUGAUUAUAGUGGUACCUGAUAAGUUCCACAUGAAUCGGUCAGUUGUACUGCUUCAAUAAUAUAUUUACGGCAAAAAAAAAUAAUAAUGAAAACUUGAGCCCUAAAAAAAGGUCACACUUCGGAGAAACGUUCACAAGCUGCUGAGACUGAGAGGCAAUGCGCCGCCAACGCCGUGUGUGUCCUGCCUUGCCCUGCCCUGUCCUGUCCUGCCCGCUGCAGAGCGCUUCCUUCUGAUGCCCUCACUUGUAACGACAGCCUGAAGUUCACCGUGAAGUUGAAGAGCAGACGACCGGGAACUCUCCUCGGCACUACGACCGAGGCGGAUGAAAGGACACAGCCAACGCACAGACAACAACUGGGACCAUUUUAAUGGAUGUACACAAAUGGCACUGCCUGGGUGCACCGGGAGCAUAGGGGCCCAUAAUGUUUCUGAUGCCUAUAUAUGUUUCUGUUUUGCUGUCAAAACGAGCACACUAUUUUGCCUGGGAGCCUGUGAUGCUGGAUUGCUUGGAAAAGGAGCCAUCAGCCCCACAGACACUCUUGGAAAUAAAGGUGCCGGAGUGGUUCUUUAGGGUGAUGCAAUAGGGGAACUAGGUUUUGUUGCCAAAAGAACCAUCCACCUGAAGCUUCCAGAUAAAACGUUUAUUUAUUUAGAUCCAUAUCAAUAAUUAACAAUGAACAGAUGAUAAUAGAUUUGUGAAAUACCAGUAAGUUAUGAU